rnacentral:rRNA from 1 species
CCCUUAGACGUUCUGGGCCGCACGCGCGCUACACUGACGAAUGCAACGAGCUUAUAACCUUGGCCGAAAGGUCUGGGUAAUCUCCAAAUUUCGUCGUGAUGGGGAUAGAUUAUUGCAAUUAUUAAUCUUCAACGAGGAAUGCCUAGUAAGCGCAAGUCAUCAGCUUGCGUUGAUUACGUCCCUGCCCUUUGUACACACCGCCCGUCGCUCCUACCGAUUGAAUGGUCCGGUGAAGCGUUCGGACCGUGGCCUUUGGACGGUUCGCCGUCUGUUGGCUGCGGGAAGUUCGUUAAACCUUAUCAUUUAGAGGAAGGAGAAGUCGUAACA